GCAUCUUUCUGUAUCAACGAGCGAUCCAAGUGUUAUCACGAGUUAUCUACCGAGUUACGCGACGAGCAUUUAUCGAGUAUUUAUCCGCGAUUUUAUUUUGUGAUUUAUACUUUGUACUAACGACUCAGCGAAUAUAGGCUGUACAUUAAUAUAUUAUUUCAAACAAAUUCGACGGUUACGACAACAAACGAUAACCUUCAACAAAUCUCACGGUCAAACACCGAUAUAUACCUGUCCUCUACAGUUGUACCUUAGUCAUCAGAAGAACGGUGCGAUUUGUACAAGUUUGAACGCUCAGCCAGACUGUGAAAUGGCUCGACGUCUGACCGACCCUGCCGUUGGUUACAGCACGCGCUGUUGGAACUUAAAUCAUAUCUCAGGGUGGCUUUUAACAGUCUUUGUGCUUUUGCAUCUGUGAACCAUCUUCAUUGGCAUUUAUACUAUUUGAGAUGGAGGAUGUUACUGGAAUAUACUUAGGACUACGUUUGUCCAAACGACUCGAGGAACAAGAUCAUUUGGAUAAUAAAAGUUCACUCGCUACCUCCUGCAGUUACUCUUAUUAUAGUAGGAUAGUGGAUACCGGAAGGUAGUGACUCUUCCUUUCCACAUGAUUACUUAUGCCUUGAAAAUUAUUUAACUCUUAUUACUAUUUAUUUGUAUAAUGGCUGCAUGACAUUCGUUUUGUUUCAGUUACUACAAAAUAAAUGUAUAAAUAAAAUUUCAAAUAAAUGAAGAGGGUAAUGUAGUCGAUUUAUAAUGCUCAGGUCUGCUACGAUAUCUUAGCUUGAUGCUUUUGCUCGGAGCGAAGUUUUGGCUUGACUUUCAACGAGCUCUUAUCGAAUUUUUAAUAGAACAUUGGAUAAGUAAUGAUGCUGCAUUAUAAGUAAGAAAUAAAAUUAUUUAUAUAAAUUAUAAUAAAUGCUAUGAAUAUGAAGCCAAUGCAGAACAAGUGGUGAAAACAAUAAAUUAUAAUUUAAUAUGUUUAUAUAUGCUUGUGGUUUCUCUCCAUGUCAAGUUGAAUUGAAGUAGCAAAUUUGAAAUGUGCAGUAUAUAUCUAACGUUUGGAGUAAUACUCAUUAAAAAUAUCCUCACACU